CGGACAGAUGGCCGAGCGGUCUAAGGCGCGUGACUCAAGAACUUACAAUUCUUCUUGGUCGAUUUAAAACGCCUAGUGCAUUCACGUAUCGAAAGAUGCGGGGGUUCGAAUCCCCCUCUGUUCA
rnacentral:tRNA from 1 species